UUGGAUGGACGCGAUGACGACGCCAAAUGCGUGUGGAGAUGAGCAACGUUGCGGUCAGUUCUAUCUCCGUCGAGGAGUUAACAUCAUAGGUAACAAAAGUCAAGCAAAUCGUGGGCCACAAGAAGAAAUACUGCAGCUACGCUGUAACUUUCGGGAUCCAAAGUCAAUGACUUGCAGAAACUUCGACCACGUCGGCCUGGCAGGUAUUGUCCUACUCCGACGACACCAGCCCCCCUACCCCACGGCAGCUACACCGUAACUUUCGGGUUCCAAAGUCAAUGACUUCCUGUAAAAGAAACGCCUUCGUAAACACUUGCAGGAAGGGCGCCAUUUUUGUCAUGGCCUUCGACUUCUUCUCCUCGUUCACUUUGAGAAGAAAAAGGAUAUGUGGGCACAUGUUCAUCCUUGCGCUCUCCUAGAGCAUGAUGAUGGGAUCUUCGCGUCCAUCAAAUCAUAAAGUGCGAGAGGGUUGAAUGGAUGAAUAUUUGCCAGCGAAUUUGUGGAACCUGGUAGAAUCAUUAACAAUGGCACGUUUCGCGCCUAACUCAGAAAAGAUAUUGUAAGCUUUGUUAGGCCUUUCCAGAGGAGCUAAUUCACCACUGUUAAUAUUCAACACCAUUGACAAAAUCCUUCGAGAUCAUCCAUUUGACAUGGCCCAUCUCAUUGAUCCCCUUAUAAAUGUCCUCUUCUAACUCAAACAUCUCAAAUGAAUAAAGAACUCCCAAUGAAAAUAUUCACAAGGUAAUUAUUUGCAUAAUGUUGCCAUCGCUCCAAUAUCAUACCCUACGUCGCCAAAGGAUGAGAUAGGCUUGGCCCCAUAUGGCUCUAUCCUUCUAAAACCACAUCCAACAAGCGGAUAAGUUGAGACUGUUUCUUUUGCUAGUGAUGGUUUCCAACCAAAUGAAGCAAGGGGCACCAAUUGUAGUUGGAAUGUGGGGCUAUUAUUAACAUUGGGGCCCUACCCAAUGUAAAUAAAGUCAACAAUGUUGUUCUAAGUCAUGCAUGUUGCAUAAUUAUUCCAAGCGCAACAAACAUACUUUCAUAGUCAUCACUAGCAAGCGUUCAGCCCCAUUAAAAUUUAUCUAAUCGUUGACGUUCAACUUUGGUCAUGAGUUUCACCUAACAUUAUUUACCAAGUCAAUUACUGCAUAUCAAGUAGAAAUAGAUCAUAGUGACAGAUGUAAAAUGAGCAGCUUUGAUAAGAGAACACCCUAAUAUAGCCCAAUAAAGCCUAUUAAAAAGGAUACAGGUUUCUAUCAUAAUGGAGAAAACUAGUAGGAUGUUUGUCUAGGGAGCUGAAGAGGUAUUAAUUUAACGCUCAAAUGAAGUACGACCUCAGUUCCAACACAAUUCAAGUAGAUUAAGGUUCGAUAUUUGUGAUGAUACAAUUUGGCCCAACUUCAAAUUGAAGUGACCCAAUAACAGAUUUUGAGACAUUUAAUACGUGUGAAAAUCUACUUUUUUAUUCCUUUUAGUUUAUUAAUUAUAUUUUUGUUAAAAUAACAUAAUUAUUUUAUCUUUUAAUGAGUUUAUAACAGAACAACUAGUUUUUAGAACUGUUUUAAUGAAAUACUUAUUUUAUUAAAAUAAAACAAAGACAAUAGGCAAAUAAAGACUGCAUCCUUGGAGCACAGAAUAAGACUGUUUUAUUGGGAUUAUGUUUCUUGUUCAUAAUAAUAAUGAAAAAAGGGCACGAUUUCUUAUUAUGACAGACGAAAAUUUUCUAUAUACUGUUGGCUUCCCCCAGCCCCUAUUUCUCGCCCUAUUCCUUCCCCCUUUACUCUUAGAGAUGGAUUUGGCUUUGUCGGCCGAUACUCUGGCCCUCCUUCCGAUCGUGUCCACCUGCUGUCUUGCAGAUCACCAGAUUACCUGUUCUCGCAGAUCUUCGUCCACAUGGAUGCCACACUGGCCCCAAUAUCUCAACACAAUCAUGCUAGGGGAUCAACGAUCAAUGACUUCAGUCAACAGGCAACAAUAAACCCUUCUCGUCCCCUCUCCCCUCCAGUAAUUAACCCUAUUAAACCCUACUAAACCCUUUUCCCCUCUAAGAUAUUGACCACCUGAUUUCACCAUUGCAUAAUUUGAUUCUUUUCUCAAGCACAUCUAGAACAAAGGGGGAAAAAUAGAGAUGUUUCAUACGUUUCCCGUAAUAUGUGGAAGUAUCGAUGUAAUUUCAUAGAGUCAUUCUCAGAGCACAUAUCAUUCCUCAUCCCCUUGUUUUGCAGGACUUCUAUAAGCAAUGCAACCAAGACCUAAAAUGUCUUUAAAUUAUGACAUGUGAGUUUAAAAUACCAUAGAAAAUUGAGGAUGUUGGGUUCUGGAAGGAACCCUAGCCACCUCUCCCCUCCACAAGCCAGGGCAUAUGGCUCAAAAUCACAUCCUAGGGAUCAACAAUCAAUGACUUCAGUCAGCAGGGAACAAUAAAUCCACCCCCCCCCCCCAGUCAUUAGUACUAAUAAACCAUUCUCCCCUCAGGAUAGUGACCACCUAAUUGCCCUUACUAACCCCUCCAGUCCAGAUUACUUAGGGAACCCUCAGGCUGGGCUCUCCUUCUACACUUUGACAUCGUCUUCUUCAUCAUCCAUCACAUAUCGCAGAGAGCAGAAACUUUAAUAAAAUAUACUAUAAAUAGCGCCAAAAUUUAAAUUAAUGCGGGUAUUUUAUUGGGCUUUUGGGCAUAGGUCCAAUAAGAUUAUAGGCCUCUCAUGGGCCUGACAUCGCCUUCUUCACCAUCCAUCACCUAUCGCAGAGGGCAGAAACUUUUUCUUGCUUCUAUCUAUCUACAUACGAGUCCACCGAAUCCUCAAACGGAUUUCGCCUACAGCUUACACAAGAGAGAAGGAUUAGGUAUAAUCCUCUCCCCAUCUCUCUACUUCUAUUUCUCUCUCGGUCUUUAUCUUCCUCUCUCUUCUUCACUCAACUAUAGGGGAGAGAGAGAGAGAGAGAGAGAGAGAGAGAAUAUAUUCCAUGGUUCAAUAUUUCUAUAUUGGGUCAUUUGGGCCUGAUGUCAGGUAACUUCUUCCAAGCCCACAAAGAAACUAGGUCAAGGCCCGCCAAAGGCCGACGUGGAUAUUUUUAAUGGGCUCUGCUUUCCAGGCCCAAUAUCAAGCAUAUUCCUGUCUGUCCCCACCCUCUGCCUUCGUUCUCUAUUCACCACACCUUCCAAAUUCGCAUGGUUGGGAAGACACAGAACACCUACAGCUCUAAACCAUCAUCCGAUGGCGGAGGAGCACUCGGCGACAGAGAUGCCCCUUAGUGAAGAAGCUGCGCCGCCACCUUCUCCUGGCGGAGGGACCCGAGGAGGAGAGGAGGAACCCCAGAGGUUCUCUCAGGGACUGGCUGUUCUGUCGAUUCCAGUGGCGUUUGCUCUACGCGUAGCUCCACUCCCUAGCGGUUUCGAUCCCAAUAGCCUCCUCCUCGAGCUCGAGGUAGCAUCCACCUACCUCAUGCUGUGCAUCGGCCUCUUGUUGGCACUCUCCAUCCUCACUCCCCAAAGAGCACCAAAGAUGUUGAAAGAAAGCUAUGAACAUGGAGAGGAUCGCCUGGCUGAGAGAUUGGGCUACAGUGAUCACCCUUCGUCUCUUUCUCUCUCUCUUGAUGGGGUUCACGCUGCAGUGGUGCAUCCAAGUUCCUAGGCCUUCUCUGAUCCCUGUUGGACUCUUCUUCCUCGUCAUGCUCUUCAUAGCAACCAUCUCUUCUUUUCUCCUCUUGGAGUGAAACAAACACAAGAAGGCGAGCUCUCCCCCCAUGAAAUAAAACUUUUGUGCCCUUUUUUCAUUAUUAUUAUGAACAAGAAACAUAAUCCCACGAGAUCUUAUUUUACGAUGAUCAGCCACACCAUCAGACAUGCACCAAAUAUUUCAAAGAAGCCGAUUCUUUAGAUUUAAGCACAGAAAAGUUAUGGUAAAAGAUUCUCGUCGGAGAAGAUAGAUAAAAACGGCGCGAGUUCCCGCAUAGGUAGAUGCCGAAGCCCUUCGGAGCCCAGAUCCAACCCCCACAGAAGAUUCGGCUCAAAUCAUCUCCCAGAAAAGGUCAACGUACCCCGGUUCCCUGAGCUGAAAACCACGUAGUCGUUCCCAUCCCAGCACGCAGAGCAGAGAUCAAAGGGGGAAAGAAUACGGCGAGGAGGAGGGGCUGGGGGAUUACCUGACGACGGAGUGGUAGAUCGAACCGUACGGAGCUGCUGAGAACAGGGGCGACGAAACGGGUUGAGCGAAGGAGAUCCGAACNNNNN
rnacentral:lncRNA from 1 species